rnacentral:lncRNA from 1 species
GUGAGGAGCGCCACAUUUACUGAGAUUGUGUGAACUGGAGCGAUGUUGGCCUGUACACCUCUAGACAAGGAAAGGCUUGCUUUAUUACUGAUCUAGCUGCAUGAUUUCCUCAAGUACUUGGCAAAGAAUUCUGCAACUCUGUUCAGUGCCAGUGAUUAUGAAGUGGCUUCUCCCGAGUACCACUGGAAAGCCGUGUGAGGUGCUCUCUCUCUCUCUCUCUCUCUCUCUCUCUCUCUCUCUCUCUCUCUCAUGCUUGGAUCUCGGUAAACAGUUUGGUAAUUAGUCCUUCUCUUGUUCAAAUGAUGCAAUUGAAGACAGUGUAUAACAGAGUUGAUGUUUGUUUUCUGUUUGAUUUUAAACUGAGAAAAUAAAAGGAGUUAACUGCUCCUUUUUUCUUUCCUGUUUUCAUUUCAAAGUUUCUACCAGUGUAUCAGUGAUGGACAAUGGAGAGACACGCUGUAGAGCGUUUGCCUAGUUGACAAAGCUGCUUUUGCAUGCUGGAGGUUCUGUUCCUUUGACACUGCACACUUUUAUAAUAUGUGUUAAUGCUCUAUGACAAAAACGCUCUGAUUCCUAGUGCCAAAGCUUCCCUUUAGUGUGUAUAACUGAGCACUCAUCCAUCUGUGCUCUUUUUCUUU